UCAGCCUGUGCUGUAAGAAGAGGUCUGCUUCACAGGACAUCUCUUGUCCUCUCCCCUAUUCAUGUAGAAUCUCAGCCUCUAACAUCCGUAAGAGUCUCUAGGGCUGGAUGUUUAUGUUCACUAACAGGCUGGCUCGGGUCUGGGGCAAUGACUCUUCUUGUCAGUGUUCUCUGGGCACUUUGGUAUCCUCUGGAAACCACUGGUGUCCCCAACAAGCUGUAAAUGGUCUACAUUCUGUUUCAUAUUUGAUGGAAGCCUAACUCUCAUCUUAUGUUUUGUGUCAUUUUGUUCUAGAGGGAUUCAGACCACACAUUGUUGCUUAUCCCACAAGACUCCUCAUGAAAACAAUUUCUUCAGCUUCUGCUUGCAGGCCCUCUUUCUGCAGACACCAGACACUAAAGCUUGGUUUAGUCAGGGGGCAGACAAAAAUGUGCUUCCAGAGGCUCUACUUCCUCAGGCUCACCCAGACAGUGGCUAAAUGCCCCCUAGGCAUAGGCGGGACUCCUGCUGUGAGGAAAACUUUGGGCAGCCUUCUCUUUCUCUCUCUUUCCCUGGAAUAAAUUCCUAAAAGUGACUGUGUAUGUUUUCAAGGGCUUUGAAUGUUUUUAUGGCUGAAUUAUGCCUCCCCACUUCAGAUUCAAAUAUUGACGCCCUAAACCCCCAGUACCCCAGAAUGUGACUGUAUUUGAAGACAGGACAUUUAAAGAGGUGACUACAUUAAAAUGAAGCUUGUAGGGUGGGUCCUAAUCCAAUCUGACUGUUGUCCUUAGAGAGGAAAUUUGGAUCCAGAAAGAGAGAGACACCAGGGAUUCACACAAACCGAGAAAAGACCACGUAAGGAUGCAGUGAGAGGGCAGCCAUCUGCAAGCCAGGGAGAGAUGCCUCAGGAGAAACCAAACCUGCUGCUCUUUGGGCUUCCAGCUUUCAGAACUGUGAGAAAUAAAUUUUUGUUGUUGAAGCCCCUCA
rnacentral:lncRNA from 1 species